AUUGAACGCUGGCGGCAGGCCUAACACAUGCAAGUCGAACGGUAACAGGAAGAAGCUUGCUUCUUUGCUGACGAGUGGCGGACGGGUGAGUAAUGUCUGGGAAACUGCCUGAUGGAGGGGGAUAACUACUGGAAACGGUAGCUAAUACCGCAUAACGUCGCAAGACCAAAGAGGGGGACCUUCGGGCCUCUUGCCAUCGGAUGUGCCCAGAUGGGAUUAGCUAGUAGGUGGGGUAACGGCUCACCUAGGCGACGAUCCCUAGCUGGUCUGAGAGGAUGACCAGCCACACUGGAACUGAGACACGGUCCAGACUCCUACGGGAGGCAGCAGUGGGGAAUAUUGCACAAUGGGCGCAAGCCUGAUGCAGCCAUGCCGCGCGUAUGAAGAAGGCCUUCGGGUUGUAAAGUACUUUCAGCGGGGAGGAAGGGAGUAAAGUUAAUACCUUUGCUCAUUGACGUUACCCGCAGAAGAAGCACCGGCUAACUCCGUG
rnacentral:rRNA from 1 species